GGGAGAGCGUACGGAGCUGGUGCCCGUCCCGGACUUCAAAUCCGUUGUUCCUCAGCCUGCGCUGGGGAAGGUGAGUUCGAUUCUCAUGCUCUCCC
rnacentral:tRNA from 1 species